GUGCCCCAAAAAGUGGUGAAGUACGUUAACAAUAAAUCAGAUUAUAAAGAAUCUAAUGAGGUGCCCCGGUUACCGAAUGGUUGCCAGGUACGGAGUAGAUACCUUCGGGCGGACCCACUACCUGAUUUAAUUGUUCCUGAGCUGGGACUAGUUAUCUUGGCGCAUUUUCAACACCAGGAUUCCUUUUGUAUAACCAACUCUUGCCUGUAUUUAACAUCACAAGGACUGCA
rnacentral:sRNA from 1 species